rnacentral:rRNA from 1 species
AACGAACGCUGGCGGCAGGCUUAACACAUGCAAGUCGAGCGCCCCGCAAGGGGAGCGGCAGACGGGUGAGUAACGCGUGGGAACGUACCCUUUGCUACGGAAUAGCUCCGGGAAACUGGAAUUAAUACCGUAUGUGCCCUACGGGGGAAAGAUUUAUCGGCAAAGGAUCGGCCCGCGUUGGAUUAGCUAGUUGGUGGGGUAACGGCCUACCAAGGCGACGAUCCAUAGCUGGUCUGAGAGGAUGAGCAGCCACAUUGGGACUUAGACACGGCCCAAACUCCUACGGGAGGCAGCAGUGGGGAAUAUUGGACAAUGGGCGCAAGCCUGAUCCAGCCAUGCCGCGUGAGUGAUGAAGGCCUUAGGGUUGUAAAGCUCUUUCACCGGAGAAGAUAAUGACGGUAUCCGGAGAAGAAGCCCCGGCUAACUUCGUGCCAGCCGCCGCCGUAAUAC